rnacentral:rRNA from 1 species
CCUACGGGAGGCAGCAGUGAGGAAUAUUGGACAAUGGGCGCAAGCCUGAUCCAGCCAUGCCGCGUGCAGGAAGACGGUCCUAUGGAUUGUAAACUGCUUUUAUACAGGAAGAAACACCUCUACGUGUAGAGACUUGACGGUACUGUAUGAAUAAGCAUCGGCUAACUCCGUGCCAGCAGCCGCGGUAAUACGGAGGAUGCAAGCGUUAUCCGGAAUCAUUGGGUUUAAAGGGUCCGUAGGCGGUUUAAUAAGUCAGUGGUGAAAGCCCAUCGCUCAACGAUGGAACGGCCAUUGAUACUGUUAAACUUGAAUUAUUAGGAAGUAACUAGAAUAUGUAGUGUAGCGGUGAAAUGCUUAGAGAUUACAUGGAAUACCAAUUGCGAAGGCAGGUUACUACUAAUAUAUUGACGCUGAUGGACGAAAGCGUGGGGAGCGAACAGGAUUAGAUACCCUGGUAGUCCACGCCGUAAACGAUGGAUACUAGCUGUUCGGAGCAAUCUGAGUGGCUAAGCGAAAGUGAUAAGUAUCCCACCUGGGGAGUACGUUCGCAAGAAUGAAACUUAAGGAAUUGACGGCGAGAGAGAGCGAGACGACGACGAGGGAGGAGG